UACGUAGGGUGCAAGCGUUGUCCGGAAUUAUUGGGCGUAAAGAGCGUGUAGGCGGCCCGAUUAGUCCGCUGUGAAAGUCCAGGGCUCAACCCUGGAAUGCCGGUGGAUACUGUUGGGCUAGAGUCCGGAAGGGGCGAGUGGAAUUCCUGGUGUAGCGGUGAAAUGCGCAGAUAUCAGGAGGAACACCAAUGGCGAAGGCAGCUCGCUGGGACGUGACUGACGCUGAGACGCGAAAGCGUGGGGAGCGAACAGG
rnacentral:rRNA from 1 species